GCCUGCUGAUGGUGGCAUACAUCUUGGAUUUUUUUGUUUUAUUUAGGUUGCUGACACUGUGGCUGCAGUUUACCCACGAGAUACCAACCUAACACUAGUAUUUGAAGAACCACUUGGAUAGGCAGAGUUCCUCACCCAGCAUGCAUUUCAAAGCUGGAUUAGAACUGACUGAAUUGCAGAAUAUGACUGUCCCUGAAGAUGAUAACAUCAGCAAUGAUUCAAAUGAUUUCACAGAAGUGGAAAAUGGCCAGAUAAAUAGUAAGUUUAUUUCGGAUCGAGAAAGCAGAAGAAGUCUCACAAACAGUCACCUUGAGAAGAAGAAAUGUGAUGAAUAUAUCCCAGGAACUACUUCACUGGGAAUGUCCGUCUUCAACCUUAGCAAUGCAAUUAUGGGCAGUGGGAUUUUGGGUCUUGCUUUUGCCUUGGCCAACACAGGAAUUCUUCUUUUUCUGCUGCUUUUGGUUUCAGUCACGCUGCUUUCUAUUUAUUCAAUACAUCUCCUGUUGGUGUGUUCAAAGGAAACAGGCUGCAUGGUGUAUGAAAAGCUUGGUGAGCAGGUCUUUGGUACUCCAGGGAAAAUGAUUGUCUUUGGAGCUACGUCUCUUCAGAAUAUUGGAGCAAUGUUGAGCUAUCUCUUCAUAGUCAAAAAUGAGCUACCUUCUGCCAUAAAGUUUCUAAUGGGAAAAGAAGAAACUUUUUUGGAAUGGUACGUGGAUGGGCGGAUUCUUGUUGUCACAGUGACAUUUUGUAUAAUCCUCCCUUUAUGUCUCCUGAAGAACUUAGGAUACCUUGGCUAUACCAGUGGAUUUUCAUUAAGCUGCAUGGUAUUUUUCCUGGUAGUGGUUAUUUACAAGAAGUUUCAAAUUCCCUGUGAUGGACAAGGGCUAAAUGCAACAUUAUCUAUCCUAUCAAAUAGCUCAGAACAUACGUGUAAGCCAAAGUAUGUUAUCUUUAAUUCCAAGACCGUGUACGCUUUGCCUACCAUUGCUUUUGCGUUUGUGUGCCACCCAUCAGUCCUCCCGAUUUACAGCGAACUUAAAGACCGUUCACAGAAAAAAAUGCAGUUGGUUUCAAAUAUCUCAUUUUUUGCCAUGUUUCUGAUGUACUUUAUGACUGCCAUAUUUGGCUAUUUGACUUUCUACGAGAAUGUGCAGUCAGAUCUGCUUCACAAGUACCAGAGCAAAGAUGACAUCCUCAUCCUGACCGUGCGCUUGGCAGUGAUCGUGGCGGUGAUACUCACCGUGCCGGUGCUGUUCUUCACUGUACGUUCAUCAUUAUUCGAGAUGGCCAGAAAAACAAAAUUUGACUUAUGCCGUCAUGUUUUGGUUACUUUUGUUCUUUUGGUUAUCAUCAACCUGUUAGUCAUUUUUAUCCCAUCCAUGAAGGAUAUUUUUGGAGUUGUAGGGGUCACUUCUGCCAAUAUGCUGAUUUUCAUUCUUCCUUCAUCGUUGUAUUUAAAAAUUACACAGCAGGAUGGAUCAAAGUUGACUCAGAGGAUUUGGGCUUCUCUUUUCUUGGCACUGGGGGUAUUGUUUUCCCUAGUGAGCAUUCCCUUGGUCAUCUAUGACUGGGUACAAUCAGGAGGCAGUGAUGAAGGCCACUGAAGUUCACCUUCUUCUCAGAAGAAGAUACCCCUGUUUGCUACACACCAAAAUCGCAACCAUCCGUUCUGUUGUCUAUUCCACCUUUUGUUUAUACAUUCUUAACAGAAUGCAAUAGACCCUGCUGUAACUGUCAACAUCAGUGAUGGAUGACAAUAUUUGUAUGAGGUUAUCUGUAAAAUGUACUGCUGUUAUUCAGUUCAUUUGGAAUAGUGAACCUGUAGCCACGAUUGUAUGAGUCCCACAUAUUAGUUAGGAUUUUAAAAGCACAGUGAAAUGCUGUAGAAGUUUCUCUGUUGUAAAAUUAAUAGGAUCCAGAAUACCAUAUCUACUUAGUAGGUGAUAGCAUGCUUUCUUUUCAUAGAGAGUUUAUCACUAUUGUGAGCACUGCAAGUGUCAUCUACUGGAUGCAAUAUUGCUCCUAAUAACUGCAACAAAAAAUUCUAAAAUUCUCAUGUGUGUAGUAACGACAGUUAAGUGGUGAGGGACAAGGAAGGGCUAAUUAGAAGCAGGGACUAAAAAUAAGAUUGUAAGUGUUAAUCCUACACUUAAAAGACUGCCUUGCUGCCUCUCCUAGUCCACAGCACAUUGCAAAGAAAAUAAUUGCGGGCUUAAAGCAACAGUAAUAGAUCUGCCCUUCUCUGUCCAAUGGAAAACAUGCCUAGGUAGUAAAACAGAGUAAAUUGUUAUUUGGGAACAGUAUCUCGGGGCAGUGACCUCUCUGGGUGAUGCUUGCUCCUGGUCAGAGGGCCAAUGCCAAAUCUGUGCACCAGCACAGACCUUUUGUAGAGCUGACACGGACCAAGUGGUGCCUGGCACAUGUGCAAGCCUAGGGCACGACAGCUGGUGUCAUCCUGCGAGGUCAGGGAUGGGGAUGUUCAUCCACUGCGAGGGCUGCUCUUCUGAGCCAAAGCCUGUGCUCCACCUGUAAUAGGUCACACAUGCCAGUGUGGGUUGGAUGAUGUGUGGGUUUUGUCUGUACAUCUGCCUUACAAUGCAUAAGCGCAACACAGCUCUCUGAUAUUGAGUAUUAAACAGUAACAAUUAAUGGUAUGUCUAGCUUAUCUUUAAAUUUAUAUAUUUCUUUGCUCGAACCUUACAUUAAGGCUAAAGAGCACCUUGGUCAAAACUAAACUUCUCGUGUGGUGGUGUCCCACCUCCAGUCCUAGUGCCCCACCCCAGUGCCUGUAGGAGAAAGGCACCACAGAAUGUACCCAGCUCCAUCAGCAGCUCCAUGAGAUGGCUUUAUCAGCUGGCGCCACGGUGCUCUCAUAAACAAAUCCCCAGAGCCCCUGGCGUCAGAAAAUCCUUAUUUCCUAUAACGUACAGCAAAGAAUGUUUUAUUUGUAUCUAACGUAAGGAUUUCUGUAACAAACUGUGAAAAAAAAAGGUAAUGAAUUAAUAAAAGGUACAGGGCUGGAAAGUCUAAAAUUCACAAAUUGUACACAUACCUAUGUUUCUGAAGACAAAUCUAUGCAGUUGUGUUGUAUUGUAGGAAGUUUCAUUGUUAUGUACAUACAUAUUGUAAAUAAAUAGGAUGCUGUAUAUUUUUGCAGUUGUUUAUCCCCUAUGAAUAGAAGUGUUGAGAUAGUCUCUGCAUAUUGAGAAUAAUUUUAAUAGAAAUACAAAUACUUUAGCUUCUUAGCAAAAUGUAUAUCCUUUUCUUUCUCCCAAGAGUUCACAAGUUAAAUCCUAAACUUGAAAUUAUAAUUACAUCCCUAAAGUAAAAAGAUAAAUAAAAGGUCCAGUUAAAUUGCUAGGAUUAAUUCCAGUGCAUGACUCCCUGUUUUCUCAACAGCAAGUUUUCCAGUCUUCCUGUUGGGUAGAAUACCUCCCUUGUUAAAGGGCCCCUUUGGUACCCAGAUGCUGCUUACCUCCUCAGCUGAGGUCAGUUGGUAGUAAAGUGCUGAAAAGGCUUUAUAGAAGAAACUCAUGGCAAACUGCAGCCAGCAAUUUGACCUAGCAUUAUGCCAUGUUGUAUCCAGGCAUGUAUUUACCCAACUAGUACAAACAGAAGUCAGAGCAGAGCUUCUGCAUUUCCAUUUUCAGCCAUCAGAAAUGCCAGUAGUUCAGAAAAAAAAAAGUAUGACAAGCCAGGGGUCAGCAGCAACCAGAGUAAUUGGUGUCAUUUCCAGCCCCCUCCCUUCCUGCAGAGUUC